rnacentral:lncRNA from 1 species
UUCGGGGCGCGCGGUUGGACCCGACCAACUCCGAAAACGGCGAGCGCCCGAACGCUCAGUAAACCCCAGCCGACCCGCACCACAGAACUUCCCGACCCGGGAACUCCGCUUUUCCAACAUGUCAGCUGGAUGAGAGAAGGGGCUUUGAUCUACCUCAUACACUGCCUGGUCUCCAAUGCCUGGAACAGCACCUGACUCAUAUGGAGUUUCACUCUUGUUGCCCAAGCUAGAGUGCAGUGG